rnacentral:tRNA from 1 species
GGGUCCGCCGCGUUGUGCUGUCGUCGAUGCCGGCCUGUCACGCCGGAGGCCGCGGGUUCGAGUCCCGUCGACCCCGCCA